ensembl:lncRNA
UUACACCUGUGUGCCUCCUGCCUUUAUCAGCCUCUGGCUUGAAAAGAAGGGAGGCAGAACGGGCUGGACACCAAGCAGACACUGUACUCCCGCGCCCUCCGCCCCUGGAGGGAAUGCCAGCCCUGCCUUUCAUAUCUAUAAUCUUCCACUGUCGAACAGUGUGCAAAUACUGAACUGCUGGAAGCAAAGAGCAGCCGAGGUCGGCUGGGGGAUCAGCUCCACAGGCUAGACAGGCUGUCGGGAAGCAGAGCGGCUCAGUCUGUGGCCAUCGGCUGAAGGCCUGCCCGGCUGGCUCAUCCCUUGUCCGGGGGCUUCCCUGUAACGCAGGCACACGGCCGGACCGCACUCAGUGCCGCAAACCCGCCCCGGGGACAUCCCCCGGGCUGGGCUGUUCUCUGCAGGACCCGUCCGUGAGAGCUGUGCUAAAGUGUAGCCCCGGAGUGCUGCUCGUGCUGCACGGCCCCCGAGGAUGACAGCAAUGUCCUCCCGCAGCCCGGGGAAAUGUCUGCUUUGUUGCCCAGAAGCCCACCAAGCCCAGAGAACAACAACCUUGACCACCAGUGCCCAGAAGGCAGCAAGAAGCCGCUGGGGCAGCCCACGAUCCUGUACGAUUACUCGGAGGAGGAGCUGAUGGCCAGCAUCGAGCGGGAGUACUGCCGCUGAGCCCCAGGGAACGGCAGGCACAGCCCGGGGCCAGCCUGAGCACAGCUCCUGUGGCACCACAGCUGCACGGCACAGGGGCCUUGCAGGGGACUGGAGCAUCGGGGGCUGCUUGGGAAGCACUGAGGAGGAAGUUCCCCUGAUCAGCUCCCAGGGAGAGCAGGAAGAUCCUCACCAGCUGCUGAUUUCUGAUUGGUGCCCCUGCAAGAGGGACCAAUUCAUCUUAAAAAUCAAUAUUUAGAAGCUCAUUUCUAAAUGCUGUUUUUAAAGGAACAUGUACUAGAAUUAAUGUCCUGCUAGAGGUGUUGAAAUGUGGUGCUUUGAAGGGAGAUCCUGCUUUGAACCUAGUAAAAAAUUGCAGCAAUAUAAUCUGAUCCAGAACUUAAGGAGAUGUUGAAGGAAAUUCAUGUUUCUGCCACUUAAAAUGUGCCAAAUUGCACUUGUGCAAGCCUCACGUUCGGGUCUGAGUUUGGUACUGUCUCUUUCAAUCUGGUCCCAAUCUGGUCCCCAAUAUGGGAGAUAAGAGGGAAACGGGAUUGAGCCCACCAUCUAGUGCAUAGCCAGUGUAAUCCCAGAGUUCAAAUCCCACCACACUGCCAAAUUAGGGUCCUGGGAGCCAUCAGGGAACACAGGAUUUAUAUGAUCCCUUUGGGGCAGACUCCCAGCAUAGGUGUCCUACCUGGGCAUGGAUCCAUCCCAGUGAUGGGAGUGAAAGCAGGAGGCACAUCCCCAUUUCAGUCAUCCUCCUCAAGGGGUACUUGCAUGCUCUUUUAGAGCAGCUGUUUGGGAUCAGUUUUCAGAAUUGCUGCUUCUAGCCUUUCCCUAAUAUUUCUUGUCCUACAAGAAAAAUCACUGCAUUUUACCAUUAGCUGACUGCAAAGUAAACCAGAAUGUUCUCUCUCCUAAGGAAAUAGUAUUUUCAGUGCUCUCAGACAGGAAACCUGAUAUUUUGGGUU